rnacentral:rRNA from 1 species
GACGUAGGGCGCGAGCGUUGUUCGGAUUCACUGGGCGUAAAGGGUGCGUAGGCGGUCGGGUAAGUCUGAUGUGAAAUCUCACAGCUUAACUGUGAAACUGCAUUGGAUACUAUCCGGCUAGAGGAAUCGAGGGGAGACUGGAAUACUUGGUGUAGCAGUGAAAUGCGUAGAUAUCAAGUGGAACACCAGUGGCGAAGGCGAGUCUCUGGACAUUUCCUGACGCUGAGGCACGAAAGCCAGGGGAGCAAACGGG